GCCCCGAGCACGCCCCUCACUCCGCACCGGCCAAUGGCACCGCCCCGUCCGCCCCGCUCUGGGAACGCCGCUCCAGCAGAUGUGACAUAGACUGGAAGUGAUGGACCCAGACAACAAUCAGAACCAAAGCACCAGAUGAGCCACCUCAGCCACGUGAGCCAUGCCAGCCACCCUACCUGUGACCCCAUCUGUGGCCCCAGUUAUCAUGGAGUAGAGCCCUUUCUCUGUCUACAAAACCAACUUCCUCGCCCAGCUCAUGGGAACACUUAUUCUGUUGUAUAGAAUGAAGUGUUGCUUGAUUCUAGAAUCCUUUGUCCCAGGAAUGGGGUCUGUAAUUCAGGGACCUGUAGAAGUUCACAGUGUGAGAGGAAUGAAGUGUCCAAUCUGCAAUCUGAAUCUUCCCUAUGAAAUUUCCACCUGGUGCCCUCCAGCGCAGAUUCUCGCACCCACAGUCCUGCCUUACAGGGCAGACCAUUUCCUCUCUGACAGUACUACCUGUCUGAAUGUUCUGCUUCAAACUGAGUCAAGAUAUGUGAACCCUGGGUAGAAGAAUUAUCAGGUCUGGAGGGAGCACAAGCAAACUAUCCCAUUUUAUGGACGUGGAAACCGAGGCCUGAGGGAGAGACGCACCAGGAAUCAGGAGAUCUGGCUCUGAUCAGCUGUACAAAUUGAGAAUUGUGACCUGACCUUGUCCAACCCAAGUGGCCCAACUCCUAAUUCUGUGAGUGACAUGUCUCUGUUACUUUGGAAUAUUGAUUGAAGAAAAAUCACAAGAGUUUCUAUCUUAUGGCCUCUUUGAAUCUUUGAGAAUUGGCAAAACCCAAAGUCAGGACAAGGCUCAUCCCAGGAGGAUCCAUGAUGCUUUAUGAAGACAGUCCCAACAGCCCAUCUCUGUCAUCCUCCAGACGUGCCAAGGCUGAAUCAUGGAGCAAACACAGCACAGGCUCAAGCUGAGACCCUGCCAUGUGACCUCCUAGUUCUAUGAAAUACCCUUCAACAAUGCAGAAUUGACAAACCCUCCCAGAACCUGAUAUAGAUACACAUAUUUAUUAUAUAAGUGUCUCAGUAAAGAAACAAUUUUCUGUAGUGCUUAGUAGCAGACUUCUGACUCCAUAAGAUGUUUCUAAGUAAAGGUUUCUUGGUCAAGGAAUUUGGAAAAUGCUCAUAGUGUAUAUGAUUCUAGGAGACUUUGGAAACACAUUAGUGCAUUCGGAAGCCCUGCAGUAGUCUGCCGCAUGACUUAUUCCAGCUUAUCCCUACAUUAUGGAAUGCUUUUGUCACUGAAUACCUUCAGAACGCAUUUUGGGAAAACUUUUAUAUAUUCGUGGCAACCCUGGAGAAAAAACUUAGAGGUAAAGUUCCCUCUCCGAGAGGCCAUAAUAAAUGUGAAAGUGUGGAAAAGAGCCCUCAUCCUCCACCUCCAAGGCUGGUGUUCUUGCCAGGAUACCAUCCUAUCAGUUCUUUCUAAAACUCUCCUGUCCCCAGUGCAAAUACUCUCAUCAUGACAAUGCCUCACUUCAGCAGGCCUUCUCAUGGAGCUGCAGGAGUUCUUUGCAAAGUCCCCCAGCCCUGGUCUAGGAAUUGGGAGUUGCCUCACAGAUGCUUUAUUGUUAUUACUGGUUACAUGUGUGAUAUGUAGCAUACAUAUCAACUACACCUUUAACCAAUAACUUUUACUUAUUUUUUAUUUGGAGAAUGAUAUAUGCUCAUUAAAGAAAAAUUGGGGAAAAAGUUGGUAAAUAAUGAAGAAGAAAAAUUCACUUCAACCUAGAAAUAGCCCAGUGAACAUGCUGGUGUCAAGGGUGUACAUACACAUAUACAUGUUUGCAUGUUUUGGGAACAAUUUGAAACAAUAUGCAUGUUUGUUACAGUUUUGGAACUGUAACAAAAAUGCACAGUUAUAGUUAUUUAUCAUGACCUUCCUGUUUUUCUUGCCAUGAUAGGUUGUGAAGAUGUUUACAU
ensembl:lncRNA TMEM72-AS1 TMEM72 antisense RNA 1